CCUACGGGGGCAGCAGUGGGGAAUAUUGGACAAUGGGGGGAACCCUGAUCCAGCCAUGCCGCGUGUGUGAAGAAGGCCCUCGGGUUGUAAAGCACUUUCAGUGAGGAAGAACGCCUGGUGGUUAAUACCCAUCAGGAAAGACAUCACUCACAGAAGAAGCACCGGCUAACUCCGUGCCAGCAGCCGCGGUAAUACGGAGGGUGCGAGCGUUAAUCGGAAUUACUGGGCGUAAAGCGCGCGUAGGUGGCUUGAUAAGCCGGUUGUGAAAGCCCCGGGCUCAACCUGGGAACGGCAUCCGGAACUGUCAAGCUAGAGUGCAGGAGAGGAAGGUAGAAUUCCCGGUGUAGCGGUGAAAUGCGUAGAGAUCGGGAGGAAUACCAGUGGCGAAGGCGGCCUUCUGGACUGACACUGACACUGAGGUGCGAAAGCGUGGGUAGCAAACAGGAUUAGAUACCCUAGUAGUC
rnacentral:rRNA from 1 species